GGGGAGGACUGUAGCUCAGUGGGUGAGCAUCUGCCUUGCAUGCAGAAGGCCCCAGGUUCAAUCCUCAGCUUCUCCA